rnacentral:rRNA from 1 species
CCUACGGGUGGCAGCAGUGAGGAAUAUUGGUCAAUGGACGAGAGUCUGAACCAGCCAAGUAGCGUGAAGGAUGACUGCCCUAUGGGUUGUAAACUUCUUUUAUAGGGGAGUAAAACAGGGUAUGCAUACCCUCUUGUGUGUACCAGAUGAAUAAGCAUCGGCUAACUCCGUGCCAGCAGCCGCGGUAAUACGGAGGAUGCGAGCGUUAUCCGGAUUUAUUGGGUUUAAAGGGAGCGUAGGUGGAUUGUUAAGUCAGUUGUGAAAGUUUGGGGCUCAACCGUAAAAUUGCAGUUGAAACUGGUUGUCUUGAGUACAGUAGAGGUAGGCGGAAUUCGUGGUGUAGCGGUGAAAUGCUUAGAUAUCACGAAGAACUCCGAUUGCGAAGGCAGCUUACUGGACUGCAACUGACACUGAUGCACGAAAGUGUGGGUAUCAAACAGGAUUAGAUACCCGAGUAGUC